GACGAACGCUGGCGGCGCGCCUAACACAUGCAAGUCGAGCGAUGAACAGAGAAUGGAAAUCUUCGGAUAGAAAUUCACUAGGAUUAGCGGCGAACGGGUGAGUAACACGUGAGCAACCUACCUCUAUCAUGGGGAUAGCCUCGGGAAACUGGGAUUAAUACCCAAUAAAAUUUUCAAAUCGCAUGAUAAGGAAAUCAAAACUCCGGUGGAUAGAGAUGGGCUCGCGCCUGAUUAACUAGUUGGUAAGGUAAUGGCUUACCAAGGUUGCGAUCAGUAAUCGGCCUGAGAGGGUGAACGGUCACAUUGGAACUGAGACACGGUCCAAACUCCUACGGGAGGCAGCAGUGGGGAAUAUUGCACAAUGGGGGAAACCCUGAUGCAGCGACGCCGCGUGAGCGAUGAAGGUAUUCGUAUCGUAAAGCUCUGUCCUUGGGGAAGAUAAUGACGGUACCCAAGGAGGAAGCCCCGGCUAACUACGUGCCAGCCGCCGCCGUAACAC
rnacentral:rRNA from 1 species